rnacentral:rRNA from 1 species
AGAGUUUGAUCAUGGCUCAGAUUGAACGCUGGCGGCAGGCCUAACACAUGCAAGUCGAACGGUAACAGGAAGCAGCUUGCUGCUUUGCUGACGAGUGGCGGACGGGUGAGUAAUGUCUGGGAAACUGCCUGAUGGAGGGGGAUAACUACUGGAAACGGUGGCUAAUACCGCAUAACGUCGCAAGACCAAAGAGGGGGACCUUCGGGCCUCUUGCCAUCAGAUGUGCCCAGAUGGGAUUAGCUUGUUGGUGAGGUAACGGCUCACCAAGGCGACGAUCCCUAGCUGGUCUGAGAGGAUGACCAGCCACACUGGAACUGAGACACGGUCCAGACUCCUACGGGAGGCAGCAGUGGGGAAUAUUGCACAAUGGGCGCAAGCCUGAUGCAGCCAUGCCGCGUGUAUGAAGAAGGCCUUCGGGUUGUAAAGUACUUUCAGCGGGGAGGAAGGUGUUGUGGUUAAUAACCGCAGCAAUUGACGUUACCCGCAGAAGAAGCACCGGCUAACUCCGUGCCAGCAGCCGCGGUAAUACGGAGGGUGCAAGCGUUAAUCGGAAUUACUGGGCGUAAAGCGCACGCAGGCGGUCUGUCAAGUCGGAUGUGAAAUCCCCGGGCUCAACCUGGGAACUGCAUUCGAAACUGGCAGGCUUGAGUCUUGUAGAGGGGGGUAGAAUUCCAGGUGUAGCGGUGAAAUGCGUAGAGAUCUGGAGGAAUACCGGUGGCGAAGGCGGCCCCCUGGACAAAGACUGACGCUCAGGUGCGAAAGCGUGGGGAGCAAACAGGAUUAGAUACCCUGGUAGUCCACGCCGUAAACGAUGUCUACUUGGAGGUUGUGCCCUUGAGGCGUGGCUUCCGGAGCUAACGCGUUAAGUAGACCGCCUGGGGAGUACGGCCGCAAGGUUAAAACUCAAAUGAAUUGACGGGGGCCCGCACAAGCGGUGGAGCAUGUGGUUUAAUUCGAUGCAACGCGAAGAACCUUACCUGGUCUUGACAUCCACAGAACUUUCCAGAGAUGGACUGGUGCCUUCGGGAACCGUGAGACAGGUGCUGCAUGGCUGUCGUCAGCUCGUGUUGUGAAAUGUUGGGUUAAGUCCCGCAACGAGCGCAACCCUUAUCCUUUGUUGCCAGCGAUUAGGUCGGGAACUCAAAGGAGACUGCCAGUGAUAAACUGGAGGAAGGUGGGGAUGACGUCAAGUCAUCAUGGCCCUUACGACCAGGGCUACACACGUGCUACAAUGGCGCAUACAAAGAGAAGCGACCUCGCGAGAGCAAGCGGACCUCAUAAAGUGCGUCGUAGUCCGGAUUGGAGUCUGCAACUCGACUCCAUGAAGUCGGAAUCGCUAGUAAUCGUGGAUCAGAAUGCCACGGUGAAUACGUUCCCGGGCCUUGUACACACCGCCCGUCACACCAUGGGAGUGGGUUGCAAAAGAAGUAGGUAGCUUAACCUUCGGGAGAGCGCUUACCACUUUGUGAUUCAUGACUGGGGUGAAGUCGUAACAAGGUAACCGUAGGGGAACCUGCGGUUGGAUCACCU